GCACGGGUGCGCACAGCAGCUCUGUCCUGGGCGAGCAAGGCGCUGAGAGCUGGAGGCGGCGGCGGGCAGGGCGCGCGGAGCCGCUGCAGCCUAUUCUAUUUCAUCCUGGUCAUGUGGCGACCUAGGACUUCAGUAAUCUCAAAGCAAGCUUACCAAUAGCAAUCCUGACGACAACUCUCCCUCUGCAGAUCACGAAUGCCUCUCCAGCUGUAAACUCCAGUGUUUUCUCUCUACUGACUUCUAAAACUACCUUCAUGUGGGGGUUUGGGCCCAGCUGGCUGAGCUGGAAUCUAACUGUGUGUCCAAAGCGAACAACUCAACCUUUCUCAACUCAAAAAUGUACAAAACAGUAAUGCCUGCCUCAGUAAACUUCUGGCAAAGAUUAAAGGAGGUGAAAUGCAUGAUGUGCUUUGGAUGAUUCUGGCACAUAGUAAGAGUUCAGUGAGAGACGCUAUAAAGAAAGUUCUCAUAAUCGCCAUUAUCAUUACCAUCACCACAUUGUAUCCUGAUGAAAGCAAAGAAGGUAAAAAAGGCACCACCUUGUUCUAAAACAGAUUCUCCCUCCUUAUUUACAUCACGAGUAAUUUACAACUCCUUUGCCAUCUGUAAAAUUCUAAGAAUAUUUUCUGUGUGCCAGUCCACUUCUCAAGACCUGUUAGUGAGGAUUAGUCCCCUUGGGUCCUUCUGUGUUGUAUCUCUGGACUAGCUAUAAAUAAAGCAGCAAAAUCAUCCAAAGUGGACACUAUAUUGGAGAAGUUGCAACAUGUUAAGCCUCCAAAAUACUUGUGUAGGAUCUUUGUUAUAACAUUUUGGUGUCUGAAGUCUUUAUAUGAAUUCUUAGUCUCUGACAAAACACAGAAAAGUUCUCUUCUGCUGCUGCUGGCCUCAAAUGUAGUUCCUUUUAUAUGUAUGAGCAUUUUUGUAUGUGUGUAUAUCCCAGGUAUGCCUGGUGCGCAUGGAGUCCAGAAAAGGGUAUCAGAUCCUCUAAAAGCUGAAAUGGAAUUACAGUUGGUUGUGGUCUGUCCUGUGGGUGCUGGUUUUGGAGUCUGCAUCCUCUGCAAAAGCAGUCAGUGUUCUUAACCACUGAACAUUCUUUGCAGUUCCAUUUGCUGCCAUGUGUACUGCCGUUCUUAAUACACUGAAGGUCUAGAGUUAACUGUCUUGUUCAUUCCAUCCUUUAUUGGCUCUUCAGCUGCUCCAAGUAUAGAGUAUAGGAAAUAUUCAUCCUCUGAAGCUGGCCAGCCUUCCACUCACAAAAGAGUCCUGUUUUUUACUGCAAACUGCAGAGUACUUUUCAUAUUGCAUGUGUCUAGUCCAUGGUCCCAU